rnacentral:lncRNA from 1 species
GGGAGCAGUAGCCGGGAGUUCCGCGCUGCGGGUCCCGCGCCACUCCUGAUUCCCUCGGUCUGGCUAUGGCGCUCACGGGAGAGCUGGGAGGGGCCCUUUAGGUUUACCCGCUGUGUGGAGAGGGAAGGCUAGGGGGUUACACACCUGUCUCCGCCAGUUUCAAUGGAGUUAUCUCCUCUGCCGCAUUCUGGUGAUGUCAGUUCUCUGCCAUGGUGGUAUCCCAUGCAAAUGGUGACAGUUCGUUUCCCUUUGCCGGGUGAGCAAUGCAACGGGUGGGUCCUGACUGGCUCUCCCAAGCCCUGUUUCAAUCCUGUGGCCACUGCCUAUGAAGGCUCGAUUGGCAUUUACCUCCGUAGGUUCAGAAGGGCCGACCAGUUGUUUCAGCGGGAUCGUUUAGUGCUGAGUCACAGCAGUUUGUCUGUGAGAAGCAUGCGAACGGGAGCUUGAAUUCAGCCGAUCCGGUGUGUGUUCUGAGAGGCCCAGACUGUUUGCUCCAGAUCCAUGUCAGCUCAGCAUUGCCUAGUGAUCCUGAGCAAACAGCAUUUAGAUGGUUUACGACUCCCUCUGCCCGUGCAGCUGAAGAGGUCAGAGACUUGAUCUCUCCGCGCCCGCCGCCACGUUGGAUCCCCCUGUUGUAUACUGUUACACAUCAGACUGCCUGAGUUAUUGUAUGUGGUAUUUCUAGUUAUUGUAUGUGGUAUUGGAUGGGGGUAUUUCUAGAACUUGU